AUUGAACGCUGGCGGCAGGCCUAACACAUGCAAGUCGGGCGAGCGGCGGACGGGUGAGUAAUGUAUGGGGAACUGCCUGAUGGCGGGGGAUAACUACUGGAAACGGUAGCUAAUACCGCAUACCAUCAGAUGUACCCAUAUGGGAUUAGCUAGUGGGUAAGGUAACGGCUUACCUAGGCGACGAUCCCUAGCUGGUCUGAGAGGAUGAUAAGCCACACGGAGACUGAGCAACGGCCCGGACCCCUACGGGAGGAGGAGUGGGGAAAUUUUGCCAAAUGGGCGAAAGCUUGUUGCGGCAAUGCGGGGUGUAUGAAUAAGGCCUUCGGGUUGUAAAGUACUUUCAGUCGGAAGACGUUACCGCAAGAGGAAGCACCGGCUAACUCCGUGCCAGCAGCCGCGUAAUUC
rnacentral:rRNA from 1 species